CGCACAUUGCGCCCGCCGGCACUCCGGCGGGCAUGCCUGUUCGAGCGUCAUUUCAACCCUCAGGCCCGGCCUGGCGUUGGGGUCCUGCGUCGCAGGCCCCUAAAGACAGCGGCGGUUGCGGCCCGGAGCCGAGCGCAGUAGCAUACUAUUCGCUCCGGUACCGGGUGGCAGUCCGGCCGUAAAACAAACCACUAUGCACUGGUUGACCUCGGAUCAGGUAGGAAUACCCGCUGAACUUAA
rnacentral:misc_RNA from 1 species